CGAACGAUCAGUAGUUGGUCUGAGAGGACGACCAGCCACACUGGGACUGAGACACGGCCCAGACUCCUACGGGAGGCAGCAGUGGGGAAUUUUGGACAAUGGGCGCAAGCCUGAUCCAGCAAUGCCGCGUGAGUGAAGAAGGCCUUCGGGUUGUAAAGCUCUUUCAGUUGAGAAGAAAAGAUUGUGACUAAUAAUUGCAAUUCAUGACGGUAUCAACAGAAGAAGCACCGGCUAACUACGUGCCAGCAGCCGCGGUAAUACGUAGGGUGCGAGCGUUAAUCGGAAUUACUGGGCGUAAAGGGUGCGCAGGCGGUUCUGUAAGUCAGAUGUGAAAUCCCCGGGCUUAACCUGGGAACUGCGUUUGAAACUACAGAGCUAGAGUGUGGCAGAGGGGGGUGGAAUUCCAUGUGUAGCAGUGAAAAUGCGUAGAGAUAUGGAAGAACAUCGAUGGCGAAGGCAGCCCCCUGGGUCAACACUGACGCUCAUGCACGAAAGCGUGGGGAG
rnacentral:rRNA from 1 species